rnacentral:tRNA from 1 species
UGGGGUAUCGCCAAGCGGUAAGGCACCGGUUUUUGAUACCGGCAUUCCCUGGUUUGAAUCCAGGUACCCCAGCCA